GAUGAACGCUGGCGGCGUGCCUAAUACAUGCAAGUCGAACGGGGAGUAGCAAUACUCUUAGUGGCGAACGGGUGAGUAACGCGUUGGUACCUGCCCCGAAGCGGGGGAUAACGGACCGAAAGGUCCGCUAAUACCCCAUGUGCUCGGUAACGAGUAGAGGUGAAAACCACUUUGGGAGGGGCCUGCGUCCCAUCAGCUAGUUGGUAAGGUAACGGCUUACCAAGGCGAUGACGGGUAGGGGACCUGAGAGGGUGGCCCCCCACAAUGGAACUGAAACACGGUCCAUACACCUACGGGUGGCAGCAGUAGGGAAUAUUGGUAAUGGGCGCAAGCCUGAACCAGCAACGCCGCGUGUGCGAUGACGGCCUUCGGGUUGUAAAGCACUUUUGACUGGGACGAGGAAGGACGGUACCGGUCGAAUCAGCCUCGGCUAACUACGUG
rnacentral:rRNA from 1 species